rnacentral:rRNA from 2 species
CGGUACGCGAGCUGGGUUCAGAACGUCGUGAGACAGUUCGGUCCCUAUCCGUCGCGGGCGCAGGAAAUUUGAGAGGAGCUGUCCUUAGUACGAGAGGACCGGGAUGGACGCACCGCUGGUGUACCAGUUGUUCUGCCAAGGGCAUCGCUGGGUAGCUAUGUGCGGACGGGAUAAGUGCUGAAAGCAUCUAAGCAUGAAGCCCCCCUCAAGAUGAGAUUUCCCAUUCCGCAAGGAAGUAAGAUCCCUGAAAGAUGAUCAGGUUGAUAGGUCUGAGGUGGAAGCGUGGUGACACGUGGAGCUGACAGAUACUAAUAGAUCGAGGACUUAACCUA